AAACUCAAAUGAAUUGACGGGGCCGCACAAGCGGUGGAGCAUGUGGUUUAAUUCGACGCAACGCGAAGAACCUUACCAGGGCUUGACAUCCCCUGACCGCGUAUGAAAGUACGUUUUCACCCUCGGGUGACAGGGAGACAGGUGGUGCAUGGUUGUCGUCAGCUCGUGUCGUGAGAUGUUGGGUUAAGUCCCGCAACGAGCGCAACCCCUACGUUUAGUUGCUAACGCGUGAAGGCGAGCACUCUAGACGAACUGCCGUUGACAAAACGGAGGAAGGUGGGGAUGACGUCAAAUCAUCAUGCCCCUUAUGUUCUGGGCUACACACGUGCUACAAUGGCCGGUACAGACGGACGCAAAGCCGCGAGGUGGAGCAAAUCCUAAAAAGCCGGUCUCAGUUCGGAUUGAGGGCUGCAACUCGCCCUCAUGAAGCUGGAAUCGCUAGUAAUCGCGGAUCAGCUACGCCGCGGUGAAUACGUUCCCGGGCCUU
rnacentral:rRNA from 1 species